rnacentral:rRNA from 1 species
GGCCCCUUGUUAUGUAAAGAUGGGGGGUCUGGCCUGCCCGGUGACAUAUGUUAAACGGCCGCGGUAUUCUGACUGUGCAAAGGUAGCGUAAUCAUUUGCUCAUUAAUUGUGGGCUAGUAUGAAUGGCUUGACGAGGGUGUGACUGUCUUUUUGCAAUUAUGUGGAAAUUAUUUUCUGGGUGAAGAAGCCCAGAUGUGGCUGAGGGACGAUAAGACCCCAUCGAGCUUUAGUUGAAUUCUGGAGGAUGUAAACAAAUUGUGUAGGUUAUGAUGUCUGGGUGAAUCUUUAAUUGGGGCGAUUGAGAAGAAAAAGGAACCUUCUGUUUUGGUUGGUGGUUUAUUGGCGAGUGAUCUGACUUAUUAUGUAGAUAGAAAGAAUAAGUUACCGUGGGGAUAACAGCGUAAUCUUCUUGGAGAGUUCGUAUUGAGAAGAGGGUUUGCGACCUCGAUGUUGGACUAAGAUUUCCUAAGGGUGUAGAAGUUCUUGAGGGUUAGUCUGUUCGACUAUUAAAAUCUU